rnacentral:rRNA from 1 species
UACGAAGGGGGCUAGCGUUGCUCGGAAUCACUGGGCGUAAAGCGCACGUAGGCGGCUUGUUAAGUCAGGGGUGAAAUCCUGGAGCUCAACUCCAGAACUGCCUUUGAUACUGGCGAGCUUGAGUUCGGGAGAGGUGAGUGGAACUGCGAGUGUAGAGGUGAAAUUCGUAGAUAUUCGCAAGAACACCAGUGGCGAAGGCGGCUCACUGGCCCGGUAUACGUGACGCUGAGGUGCGAAAGCGUGGGGAGCAAACAGGG